ACGUUAUACGGACGUUGGCACUCCUAUUCCUGCUUCUUGGGAUUGCCGACAGCUUUUCAGAGUGGUGCGAUGCCGAUAACGAUCGUCGUCUGGAGCACGCCAUUGAAGCAGCGCUAGCUGAUAUCCCACGAGAAAGGACCUCUGAAGUUCUGGCAGGAAUUUCUCAGCAAUCUCCUCUAGGAUUCGAAGGAUACAAAGUGACUGGCUUGAAUCAGCUUCGUCGACAGGGACCUCUCCAAACUUACUGCGGCAAUGGAAGUCAGGUUGUCAAUUUUGGCUUGGCUUCGGAA